ACGCUGGCGGCGUGCCUAAUACAUGCAAGUCGAGCGGACAGAUGGGAGCUUGCUCCCUGAUGUUAGCGGCGGACGGGUGAGUAACACGUGGGUAACCUGCCUGUAAGACUGGGAUAACUCCGGGAAACCGGGGCUAAUACCGGAUGCUUGUUUGAACCGCAUGGUUCAGACAUAAAAGGUGGCUUCGGCUACCACUUACAGAUGGACCCGCGGCGCAUUAGCUAGUUGGUGAGGUAACGGCUCACCAAGGCAACGAUGCGUAGCCGACCUGAGAGGGUGAUCGGCCACACUGGGACUGAGACACGGCCCAGACUCCUACGGGAGGCAGCAGUAGGGAAUCUUCCGCAAUGGACGAAAGUCUGACGGAGCAACGCCGCGUGAGUGAUGAAGGUUUUCGGAUCGUAAAGCUCUGUUGUUAGGGAAGAACAAGUGCCGUUCAAAUAGGGCGGCACCUUGACGGUACCUAACCAGAAAGCCACGGCUAACUACGUGCCAGCAGCCGCGGUAAUACGUAGGUGGCAAGCGUUGUCCGGAAUUAUUGGGCGUAAAGGGCUCGCAGGCGGUUUCUUAAGUCUGAUGUGAAAGCCCCCGGCUCAACCGGGGAGGGUCAUUGGAAACUGGGGAACUUGAGUGCAGAAGAGGAGAGUGGAAUUCCACGUGUAGCGGUGAAAUGCGUAGAGAUGUGGAGGAACACCAGUGGCGAAGGCGACUCUCUGGUCUGUAACUGACGCUGAGGAGCGAAAGCGUGGGGAGCGAACAGGAUUAGAUACCCUGGUAGUCCACGCCGUAAACGAUGAGUGCUAAGUGUUAGGGGGUUUCCGCCCCUUAGUGCUGCAGCUAACGCAUUAAGCACUCCGCCUGGGGAGUACGGUCGCAAGACUGAAACUCAAAGGAAUUGACGGGGGCCCGCACAAGCGGUGGAGCAUGUGGUUUAAUUGGAACCAACGCGAAGAACAUUUCCAGGUCAUGACAUCCUCUGACAAUCCUAGAGAUAGGACGUCCCCUUCGGGGGCAGAGCGACAGGUGGUGCAUGGUUGUCGUCAGCUCGUGUCGUGAGAUGUUGGGUUAAGUCCCGCAACGAGCGCAACCCUUGAUCUUAGUUGCCAGCAUUCAGUUGGGCACUCUAAGGUGACUGCCGGUGACAAACCGGAGGAAGGUGGGGAUGACGUCAAAUCAUCAUGCCCCUUAUGACCUGGGCUACACACGUGCUACAAUGGACAGAACAAAGGGCAGCGAAACCGCGAGGUUAAGCCAAUCCCACAAAUCUGUUCUCAGUUCGGAUCGCAGUCUGCAACUCGACUGCGUGAAGCUGGAAUCGCUAGUAAUCGCGGAUCAGCAUGCCGCGGUGAAUACGUUCCCGGGCCUUGUACACACCGCCCGUCACACCACGAGAGUUUGUAACACCCGAAGUCGGUGAGGUAACCUUUAUGGAUCCAUACGCUGAAGGUGGGACUAGAGUGC
rnacentral:rRNA from 1 species